rnacentral:rRNA from 1 species
AUUGAACGCUGGCGGCAGGCCUAACACAUGCAAGUCGAACGGUAGCACAGAGGAGCUUUCUCCUUGGGUGACGAGUGGCGGACGGGUGAGUAAUGUCUGGGAAACUGCCCGUUGGAGGGGGAUAACUACUGGAAACGGUAGCUAAUACCGCAUAACGUCGCAAGACCAAAGAGGGGACCUUUCGGGCCUCGUGCCAUCGGAAGUGCCCAGAUGGGUUUAGCUAGUAGGUGAGGUAACGGCUUACCUAGGCGACGAUCCCAAGCUGGUGUGGGAGGUUGACCAGCCACACUGGAACUGAGACACGGUCCAGACACCUACGGGAGGCAGCAGUGGGGAAUAUUGCACAAUGGGCGCAAGCCUGAUGCAGCCAUGCGGCGUGUAUGAAGAAGGCCUUCGGGUUGUAAAGUACUUUCAGCGAGGAGGAAGGCGUUGUGGUUAAUAACCGCAGCGAUUGACGUCACUCGCAGAAGAAGCACCGGCUAACUCCGUGCCAGCCGCCGCCGUAA